rnacentral:rRNA from 1 species
GACGAACGCUGGCGGCGUGCCUAAUACAUGCAAGUAGAACGCACAGUUUAUACCGUAGCUUGCUACACCAUACACUGUGAGUUGCGAACGGGUGAGUAACGCGUAGGUAACCUGCCUGGUAGCGGGGGAUAACUAUUGGAAACGAUAGCUAAUACCGCAUAAUAUUGAUUAUUGCAUGAUAAUUGAUUGAAAGAUGCUAUUGCAUCACUACCAGAUGGACCUGCGUUGUAUUAGCUAGUAGGUGAGGUAACGGCUCACCUAGGCGACGAUACAUAGCCGACCGUGGAGGGUGGUCGGCCACACUGGGACUGGGACACGGCCCAGACUCCUACGGGAGGCAGCAGUAGGGAAACUUCGGCAAUGGACGAAAGUCUGACCGAGCAACGCCGCGUGAGUGAAGAAGGGUUUCGGAUCGUAAAGCUCUGUUGUAAGAGAAGAACGGGUGUGAGAGUGGAAAGUUCACACUGUGACGGUAUCUGACCAGAAAGGGACGGCUAACUACGUG